UACGUAGGGGGCAAGCGUUGUCCGGAUUUACUGGGCGUAAAGAGCGCGUAGGCGGAAGUUUAAGCGUAGCCUGAAAGCCCCCGGCUCAACCGGGGAGGGUGGCCGCGAACUGGACUUCUUGAGGGCGAUAGAGGAGAGCGGAAUUCCUGGUGUAGCGGUGAAAUGCGUAGAGAUCAGGAGGAACACCAGUGGCGAAGGCGGCUCACUGGCCCGAAACUGACGCUCAUGCACGACAGCGUGGGGAUCAAACAGG
rnacentral:rRNA from 1 species